rnacentral:tRNA from 1 species
GGCAGUGUAGGAUAGUGGGUAAGGAACUGGGCUUGUAACCGAAAGGUCACAGGUUCGAUUCCUGGGUUGGACA